UGGGGAAUUUUGCACAAUGGGGGAAACCCUGAUGCAGCGACGCCGCGUGAUUUAGAAGGCCUUCGGGUUGUAAAAAUCUUUUUUACGGGAGGAAAAUGACAGUACCGUAAGAAUAAGGUCCGGCUAAAUACGUGCCAGCAGCCGCGGUAAUACGUAUGGACCGAGCGUUGUCCGGAAUCAUUGGGCGUAAAGGGUACGUAGGCGGCCUAGUAAGUUAGAAGUGAAAUAAUAUAGCUCAACUAUAUAAAGCUUUUAAAACUGCUAGGCUUGAGAGAUGGAAGGGAAAGUGGAAUUCCUAGUGUAGCGGUGAAAUGCGCAGAUAUUAGGAAGAAUACCGGUGGCGAAGGCGACUUUCUGGUCAUCAUCUGACGCUGAGAUACGAAAGCGUGGGUAGCAAACAGG
rnacentral:rRNA from 1 species